rnacentral:rRNA from 1 species
AUUGAACGCUGGCGGAAUGCUUUACACAUGCAAGUCGAACGAUGAACCUUAGCUUGCUAAGGGGAUUAGUGGCGAACGGGUGAGUAAUGUAUCGGAACGUAUCCAAUAAUGGGGGAUAACUAGUCGAAAGAUUAGCUAAUACCGCAUACGUCCUACGGGAGAAAGCUAGGGACCUUCGGGCCUGGCAUUAAUGGAGCGGCCGAUAUCUGAUUAGCUAGUUGGUGGGGUAAAGGCUCACCAAGGCGACGAUCGGUAGCUGGUCUGAGAGGACGACCAGCGACACUGGAACUGAGACACGGUCCAGACUCCUACGGGAGGCAGCAGUGGGGAAUUUUGGACAAUGGGCGAAAGCCUGAGCCAGCCAUUCCGCGUGAGUGAAGAAGGCCUUCGGGUUGUAAAGCUCUUUCGCAAGGGAAGAAAACUUAAGCUCUAACAUAGCUUGAGGUUGACGGUACCUUGAUAAGAAGCACCGGCUAACUCUGUGCCAGCCGCCGCGGUAA